AUGGGUAAAAUGUUAUUACCCCCCCCCAAAAAAAAUCUGGUAUCUGCAUCAGAUUUGUCUCUUGUGUUUCCAUGUUGUGAAAACUUCUCAGCAGGUGACGCUGAUCCUUCUCUCCAGUCACAGACUCAGAUGGAUGAUGCUUCUGGUCAAACCAAGUCUCCUCAACAGGAGAACAGUAUUGCUGCUAAUAGCAGAGCAGCAGGUGACUCUGAUCCUUCUCUCCAGUCACAGACUCAGAUGGAUGAUGCUUCUGGUCAAACCAAGUUUCCUCAACAGGUACGUUUACUUAUCACUGGAAAUCUAAGUCUACUGUCUGUUUUUUCCAUGUUUUUGGAGCAUAUUUUGAUGCAUAUCUGCUGUAAAUUAGUUCCCUCAACAGUUUAUCAACAUGUGUCCUGUAGGUUAGUGGUAGUGGAAUAGUUAGGGCCAGUUUUGUCUAUCACAAGUAAUAUUUUCUUGGUUAAUUGUUGCUUUAAAAUUUACACUCACGACGUCCCCACAACACACUUUUGGUCGCUCAGUGUUGGAGUUGAGAUGGUCUGUGAAAUUAGAUGAAUCUGGUCCCCAUAAGGAACAAUAACUUUGUGUGUGAAAGGUCCCCACGAGGCCCGUUUUAUUCAAGAUGUGUGUGUGAGCUCAGACAGAGGAUGCAGGACAGGGAUAUAAUUUUUCUCUCUGAGCUCUGGUCAACUUUUUCAUUUUCAAAUUUCAAAUACAAUAGUAAUGUCAAAUAUUGUUUAUCCUUUCUGUUUACAGAUUGCGACCCAGCGCCAAAAUUAGAUUUUUGUGCCAAGACUGAGAUGGACUAAAAGUAUCAUAGCAAGUUUGUCACAACAAAGAGACUUGAUGUCUUUUUUUUUCUUUUUCUUUUUUUGUAUUCCUCAGAUCAUUCUCAUCAUCAAUAAUAAUUUAUGUAAUAUUAGUAUUCUUAUGUGAUAUUGACUGCAAAAUAUCAGAGAAUACAAUUUAAUUUUACUUUAACACCAGAAUUAUGUGAUCAGAUAUAUAUAUUUUUUGUCAGAUCAACUGUCCAUAACUUUUGCAUUGAGAACUUUAUUAUAACAUAGUAAGAAGCAGCAAAUCAUCACAUGUAACUUGCAAACUUGAGGGGGAAAAAAAGUUCAAUAGAUUAACAGAGACACAGUACAUUGGCUAUUAUUUUCAAAAUCAAAUGAUCAGUUAAUUGCAGCAGUUCUACCGAUUUCUUUUUUUUUUAGAUGAAAGACACAAAUCUUGAAGAUUCUGGUGAGCUCUUUGAUUCUACACCAGAGAGUUCAGGGCCCGGUUCCCCAAAACGUUCUUAUCGCGAAGUAGUUCUUAACCUAUUCCUUAACCUCUCUCUUAACGUUAUGGCAUGAUUCCCGACACAAUCGUACGCAAAGUAUAUCUUCUGUAAGUCACACUUUUGUAAGGUUGGUCUGGACCAUUCGUAAGCUCUCUCUUAGAGUUGUUUGAGCUCAAGACGCUAGUUGCCGCCACUGUGCAGCAAUCUUUAGAAAUCAGCGCAGCGCAGUACAAGUCAAACUAUAGUAUGUUGACAAUGUUGUGGCUCAACAAUGAUUUUAUGUUAUGGACAUUUUAAGACUAAUAAUAAAAUAUGUUCGCAAUGGAUACAGGCCUAUUUAUGAAGUUGACUUUAUUUGGUAUCAGAACUAAUAUUUUGGUAAUUAGCCUAGGCUAUUUCUUAAUGUCAUUAAAGGGUUUAAAUUGGCAAUCACUUUUGAUAAUUAAAAUCUGGCAAACAAUUUGGCUCUAAAUGCCUAAGAUCUAUAAAUGGGUAAGCAUGGUGGUGUCCAGUAAGCCACCAACUAUGGCAGCGAUAAGCAAGACCUCGGUGUGGAGGUGCGUCCACACUGUCACCAACGCCCUUCUAAGUACCUUACCAUUAAUAUAAAAGUGUAUUACAUAAUUUUUAGAAGUCGUUAAACCCAUGUCAAGAAGCGGCACAAGUGGCACAACGGGAUAAGGAGGGUGGAUGAUUAGCGAGGGAUACCCUGUUCGUCUACCCAUCACAACAUAUCGUGUGAAUAUAUAUUACUGACAAUUUGAUAAUUUAAUUAAUAGUCUAUAUUUUACGGAUAACUUAAACUAUGUUAAAAUAAAUGUUACUGUAAUAAAUUUGAGGAAUGUUUCAUUUGCAUAGGACGUGUUGUCUUUCUUAACGCCGUAAUGCACCUCUGUGAGUGGAAAUACGAUCUUAGCAUACGACGCCACAACUUACUAGCACUACAGUUAAUUGCAGCCGUUCUACCGAUUUCU
rnacentral:lncRNA from 1 species